rnacentral:piRNA from 1 species
UUUUACUCAGGUCUGUGUGAGAGGCAGG